GGGAGCGACUUGGCUUCGACAGGAGUAAGUCUGCUUGGAUGGCAUGUCGCUUUGGGCAAAGCGUAAAAAGCCCAAAUAAAAUUAAACGCAAACAACGUUAAAUUUGCUCCUGCUUACGCUAAAGUUGCGUAAGUUCAGUUGAGCCUGAAAUUUAAGCCCAUACUAUCUAGCUUAAUUUUCGGUCAUCUUUGAUAGUGUAGCCUUGCGUUUGACAAGCGUUGAGGUGAAAUUAAAGUCUUAGCCUUGCUUUAAGUUUUGGAAGAUGAGCGAAGUAGGGUGAAGCAGUCAUCUUUACUAAGCAUGUAGAGGUCUUUGUGGGGUUAUUUUUGGACAGGGGUUCGAUUCCCCUCGCUUCCACCA
rnacentral:tmRNA from 1 species